GACGAACGCUGGCGGCGUGCCUAAUACAUGCAAGUUGAGCGAUGAAGAUUGGUGCUUGCACCAAUUUGAAGAGCAGCGAACGGGUGAGUAACGCGUGGGGAAUCUGCCUUUGAGCGGGGGACAACAUUUGGAAACGAAUGCUAAUACCGCAUAACAACUUUAAACAUAAGUUUUAAGUUUGAAAGAUGCAAUUGCAUCACUCAAAGAUGAUCCCGCGUUGUAUUAGCUAGUUGGUGAGGUAAAGGCUCACCAAGGCGAUGAUACAUAGCCGACCUGAGAGGGUGAUCGGCCACAGUGGGACUGAGACACGGCCCAAACUCCUACGGGAGGCAGCAGUAGGGAAUCUUCGGCAAUGGACGAAAGUCUGAACGAGCAACGCCGCGUGAGGGAAGAAGGUUUUCGGAUCGUAAAACUCUGUUGGUAGAGAAGAACGUUGGUGAGAGUGGAAAGCUCAUCAAGUGACGGUAACUACCCAGAAAGGGACGGCUAACUACGUG
rnacentral:rRNA from 1 species